GAUGAACGCUGGCGGCGUGCUUAACACAUGCAAGUCGAACGAGGAUUUAACGGAAUGCGAUUCGUCAAAUGAAAUUAAAUCCGAGUGGCGGACGGGUGAGUAACGCGUGGAUAACCUGCCUUAUACAGGGGGAUAACAGUUGGAAACGACUGCUAAUACCGCAUAAGCGCACGGUAUCGCAUGAUACAGUGUGAAAAACUCCGGUGGUAUAAGAUGGACCCGCGUCUGAUUAGCUAGUUGGUGAGGUAACGGCCCACCAAGGCGACGAUCAGUAGCCGGCCUGAGAGGGUGAACGGCCACAUUGGGACUGAGACACGGCCCAAACUCCUACGGGAGGCAGCAGUGGGGAAUAUUGCACAAUGGAGGAAACUCUGAUGCAGCGACGCCGCGUGAGCGAAGAAGUAUUUCGGUAUGUAAAGCUCUGUCAGCAGGGAAGAUAAUGACGGUACCUGACCAAGAAGCCCCGGCUAACUACGUG
rnacentral:rRNA from 1 species